CUUACGCGUUUAACCUACUAGAGUGCGCAAUUCUCACGCGCUUCCGAGCUGUCAUCAUCCCAUCAAGUCAGGCACAGCUUCUCCAAACGCGCGCGUUAUACUCCCAAACCCUGGGGAUUGUCCUCCUUCUUCACGGUUGUUUAAGUCUCAAUCUGCUGUUUCCGCACAACUUGCCUUUUUUGUGUCGGAGAGCCCGAAGACACCGUGGAUCUGCGCUCGCUUCAGCAUGCGUUUGGCGCGCGGAGCGCACUCUUGGCGAGCUCUUCAUCAUCAUCAUCAUCAUCAGGCGCAGGGAUGAUGUUCAACUCAUCGCGCUCGCUGGAUUUCUUCUCGUUCUCUCGCCCUGAGCUCGCGUCGGAAGUUCUCAAUGGUUCCUCACACUCCUUCUACAACAUCUCAGUGGCCAUGUGGAACACAUCCUGCGGGGAGCAGCUGCUCGAUUUCACCGCGUCGGAGAAGAUCGUCAUCGGAAUGAUGCUGGCCAUCAUCACCACCGUGACGGUGAUUGGGAAUAUGCUGGUGGUGAUCGCGGUGUGCGUCGUGAAGAAGCUCCGACAGCCGUCCAACUAUCUGCUGGUGUCUCUGGCCGUGGCGGAUCUCUCCGUGGCUAUCGUGGUGAUGCCGUUCGUGAUCGUGACGGACCUCACGGGAGGAAAGUGGCUUUUUGGAGAGGUCUUUUGUAACAUCUUCAUCGGCAUGGAUGUGAUGUGCUGCACUGCAUCCAUCAUGACUCUGUGCGUGAUCAGUGUGGACAGGUAUCUUGGCAUCACCCGCCCUUUGACUUACCCUGCUCGACAAAACGGCCAGCUGAUGGCAAAGAUGAUCUUUGGUGUGUGGCUCGUGUCGGCCUCGAUCACCCUGCCGCCGUUCUGUGGCUGGGCCAAGAACAUUAACACAGCUGGCGUUUGUCUAAUCAGUCAGGACUUCGGCUACACCAUCUACUCCACCGCCGUGGCCUUCUACAUCCCCAUGAUUGUCAUGCUCUGCAUGUACUACAAGAUCUUCAAGGCCGCCAGGAAAAAGCUGCGCCAAGCAUCGUUUCACCAACUUCUCCCGUCGGGAUCGUCUGGAAACCGUCGCCAGCGAUGCUCUCAGGAUGCAAGGCCUAAAACCCCAACACACGCCUGGCGUGGCCGAGGAGUGCGCUGCUCUUUCACGCUUUCUCAGCCGCGAGCGACACAAUAUCUCCAUCUUUAAGCGAGAGCAGAAAGCAGCUACGACAUUGGGUGUGAUAGUUGGAGUUUUUGGUACUUGUUGGCUGCCAUUUUUUAUUCUCUCUACAGCGAGACCAUUUAUAUGCGGGGUCAAGUGUAGUUGCAUACCUAUUUGGCUGGAGAGGACGCUGCUGUGGUUUGGAUAUGCCAACUCGCUUAUGAACCCCUUCAUUUAUGCUUUCUUCAACCGGGACCUGCGCUCCACAUACAGAGACCUGCUCCGCUGCAGGUACAGGAACAUAAACCGCAGACUGUCGGCUGUAGGUGUGCAUGAAGCACUGAAGGUAUAAAAUAAUGUGGUUGUCCUGGAUUUGGUUUACACACAGUUCAGACAGCACUGAAUCACGGUUAAUCAAGUAAGAAGCCGAACAAUGCAUCCACUUAUGGGAUUUUUGCCUCAUACUUCAUCAGAACACUCAUAUUUGGUCAAAUUCAGCACUGAUUGUUGAGACAUGUGUGUAAAACUUACAUGAAUUCAUUUAAAACAAACAUCUAAACCCAUUAAAAUACUAAACAAUAUAUUGAUAUAUUUGAUGUUUUCCUUUAAGUGUUAUAUACAUAACAUUACUGUUAAAAAG